UGCAGACAUUUAAUAUUAAGAUGGAAUGGAAAUUAUUUUUAUUCUUGCACUCUGAGCUGGAAGGUUGCAGUGCAGUAUCAACAACAGAAAAUACCCUGUUUGACCAGUAACUGGUGAAUCAAUUUAAAGAGUCUCAAUCAGUGAAGCCUCUGCUUAGAGGGCAGAAUGGACCUUACAGUCUGGAGACUGUUGAUUCAUACAGUAUAUGGACGCCGCCUUCAUCUGACUAUAACUGUGAUACCCCAGGAGACAGUAAACAACUCAGUGUUGUUGGUUGGGUUCAAAAACCACCAGGGAUUCUUGGUUUGUCAAUGGACAGCAACCCACUCAGCUCAACAGACACUUGUGAGUCUGGUGCGUCCUCAGGGUCAUCCAUCUUUGGAGAUUCCUGUUUCAGAGAGAUGUAAAUAACAAGGAAAAAUUCUUCACACUGAAGUGACGUGUUUCCUGAAGAACGAGAG
rnacentral:lncRNA from 1 species